ACUCCUACGGGAGGCAGCAGUGGGGAAUUUUGGACAAUGGGCGAAAGCCUGAUCCAGCAAUGCCGCGUGAGUGAAGAAGGCCUCGGUUGUAAGACUCUUUUGUUCAGGGAAGAAACGGUAGAGAGCUAAUAUCUCUUGCUAAUGACGGUACCUGAAGAAUAAGCACCGGCUAACUACGUGCCAGCAGCCGCGGUAAUACGUAGGUGCAAGCGUUAAUCGGAAUUACUGGGCGUAAAGCGUGCGCAGGCGGUUUUGUAAGUCUGAUGUGAAAUCCCCGGGGCUCAACCUGGGAAUUGCAUUGGAGACUGCAAGGCUAGAAUCUGGCAGAGGGGGUAGAAUUCCACGUGUAGCAGUGAAAUGCGUAGAUAUGUGGAGGAACACCGAUGGCGAAGGCAGCCCCCUGGGUCAAGAUUGACGCUCAUGCACGAAAGCGUGGGGAGCAAACAGGAUUAGAUACCCUGGUAGCGACUGA
rnacentral:rRNA from 1 species